rnacentral:rRNA from 1 species
CCUACGGGUGGCUGCAGUGGGGAAUAUUGCACAAUGGGCGCAAGCCUGAUGCAGCCAUGCCGCGUGUGUGAAGAAGGCCUUCGGGUUGUAAAGCACUUUCAGCGGGGAGGAAGGCGGUGAGGUUAAUAACCUCACCGAUUGACGUUACCCGCAGAAGAAGCACCGGCUAACUCCGUGCCAGCAGCCGCGGUAAUACGGAGGGUGCAGGCGUUAAUCGGAAUUACUGGGCGUAAAGCGCACGCAGGCGGUCUGUCAAGUCGGAUGUGAAAUCCCCGGGCUCAACCUGGGAACUGCACUCGAAACUGGCAGGCUAGAGUCUUGUAGAGGGGGGUAGAAUUCCAGGUGUAGCGGUGAAAUGCGUAGAGAUCUGGAGGAAUACCGGUGGCGAAGGCGGCCCCCUGGACAAAGACUGACGCUCAGGUGCGAAAGCGUGGGGAGCAAACAGGAUUAGAUACCGUGUAGUC